UUGUCCAGUGGAAAAGGCAUUGAAUCACGACUGGCAGAGAUGACUCUGCUCUGAGUGGAGUCUUGGCAGCAAAAUAGUGACGAAGCAGCAUCUCGAUUACAUCUUCCACCUGGUCUGCCGCUGAGAAUUAUCCAGAAGCUGCCUGGCACAAAGCUAACGUAACCUCCACCCGGUUGCCACUGGCUGCUGGAGGUUUAGGCUGGGUUGGAUCCCACUUGUUGCCCUGUGCUCGUAUCAGUUCAGCAUGGCCUGAUACAGUCACUGUUUUGUGCUUGAAGCAGUUACAGGUUUCCCUCACUGGGGUGGAUUUGAACAAUCAGCUCCUGCUGUGCCUCGGCGUGCACAGUCCACCUGGACUAACACCUUCAGCACUUCUCCUCUCUGCCUGGCAGACUGGCGCGGCGGUGUGA
rnacentral:lncRNA from 1 species